rnacentral:rRNA from 1 species
GACGAACGCUGGCGGCGUGCUUAACACAUGCAAGUCGAGCGGUAAGGCCCUUCGGGUACGACGAGCGGCGAACGGGUGAGUAACACGUGGGUGACCUGCCCUUAGCUCUGGGAUAAGCCUGGGAAACUGGGUCUAAUACCGGAUAUGACCUCAUGACGCAUGUUGUGGGGUGGAAAGCCUUGUGCGGCUAGGGAUGGGCCCGCGGCCUAUCAGCUUGUUGGUGGGGUGAUGGCCACCAAGGCGACGACGGGUAGCCGGCCUGAGAGGGCGACCGGCCACACUGGGACUGAGACACGGCCCAGACUCCUACGGGAGGCAGCAGGUGGGGAAUCUUGCGCAAUGGGCGAAAGCCUGACGCAGCGACGCCGCGUGAGGGAUGACGGCCU